rnacentral:lncRNA from 7 species
GACAUCGAACGGAUCAUCAGGGCACAAAACACUCCAUGUCAAGGGGUGGGCAGAUAGAGUAGAGAGACUCAGGCAAGAUCAACACCUUCCGAGUGGUGUCUUGUUUUGCUUGGUGAAGUUGUGGUCGGUCGCGUCGUCGAUCAAAUCAACCACCACAAAGACGACGCAGAACUCAGUGUAUUGGAGCAAACAUGCCUGAUAACGUAUUGUAGAACACGGUGGCAAAGAGAGUUGAGACCGAGAGGAAUGA